AUUUGGAUCAUUGUUGGAACUUAUUGAGGCACCAACCAAAGUGGCAAGUGCAUAUGGAUAAUUUGCCAACAAAGAGAAAGACGGGUUGCCCUACUGUUCCAGCUGCCAUUGCCAUAGAUGUUGAGGAAAAUGAGAGCAUGUCUACCAAUUUGGAGAGGCCGCUAGGCAAGAAAUCUGAAAAACAAAGGGAAAGGAAAAGGAAACAUGAAGAAUCUUGUAAUAGUCAAUUUGAUGAAAAGUUAAGUAACAUGGAAGCUGAUAGGAGGAUAAUGAUGAUUAAGCUACGGGAGACGGCAAUGAAGGCUGAAAAGGACAGGGCUGAGAUCAUCUCACUUAAGAAGAAGAAGAUGGAGAUGGAAGUCAUGAUGUUGAAUGUUGAUAACAUGAAUGCAGUGCAGCGAGAAUACUUCAAGUCAAUUCAAAUUAAGAUCUUAGAGAAACAUAGGACUGAAUUGAAUGAAAUGCAGUAGCUGGAGGAGGGAGAAUUGGUACUGAUUUAUGAAAUGGAAGACUAUUUUUUGCAUUGAAGUCUACUUUUUGGAACUUCAUGACAGCUUGGAACCCACUGACUGAUUUUUUGGAUGUAUAUUGAAACUUGUAACUGCUGUUAUAUGUUAGUUGAUGGUUUAUAUUUGAACUGCUGUAUAUGAUAACUAGGUGCAGAUUUAUGUAUUUCCUCUUGGUAUUUAUGUAAGUGUUUUUUGUAAUUAAGAUGGUGUUUGAAUAUUUGAUUUCCACUAUGUGUUUAUGUAAGUGUUUUGUAAUUAAGAUGGUGGAGGAAGUGUAUAUUUCCUCUAGGUGUUUAUGUAUAUGAUUUUGUAAUUAAGAAGGUUAAGAAUGCAGUGCAAAUUUCCUAAUU